GAAGUUGUGGCUCAAUGGCAGAGCGCUCACCUAGCAUGUAAGAAGCCCUGGGUUCAAUUGUCAGCACUACA
rnacentral:tRNA from 1 species